rfam:Oryza sativa (indica cultivar-group) chromosome 1, whole genome shotgun sequence.
AAAAAGUCAAACCAUGAGUUUCCGUGUCCAACUUUAACUAUCCGUCUUAUAUAAAAAUUUUUUAUAAUUCGAAUUUUCAUUGUUGUUAGAGGAUAAAACAUGAUUAAUAUUUUAUGCGUGAAUUUUUUUUUAAUUUUUUUCAUAAUUUUUUUCAAAUAAGAUGGACGGUCAAACGUUGUACACGAAAACUAGGGUUUGUCUUUUU